AAUGAACGCUGGCGGCAGGCCUAAUACAUGCAAGUCGAACGAUCCUUCGGGAUAGUGGCGGACGGGUGCGUAACACGUGGGAAUUUGCCCUUGGGUAAGGAAUAACAGUUGGAAACGACUGCUAAUACCUUAUAACAUCUCCGGAUCAAAGAUUUAUCGCCCAAGGAUGAGCCCGCGGCUGAUUAGCUUGUUGGUGGGGUAAUGGCCUACCAAGGCAACGAUCAGUAGCUGGUCUGAGAGGAUGAUCAGCCACACUGGGACUGAGACACGGCCCAGACUCCUACGGGAGGCAGCAGUAAGGAAUAUUGGACAAUGGGGGCAACCCUGAUCCAGCCAUGCCGCGUGUGUGAAGAAGGCCUUAGGGUUGUAAAACACUUUCAAUCGUGAAGAUAAUGACUGUAGCGAUACAAGAAGCUCCGGCUAACUCCG
rnacentral:rRNA from 1 species